AUUGAACGCUGGCGGCAUGCCUUACACAUGCAAGUCGAACGGCAGCACGGGAGCAAUCCUGGUGGCGAGUGGCGAACGGGUGAGUAAUAUAUCGGAACGUGCCCAGUGAUGGGGGAUAGCCCGGCGAAAGCCGGAUUAAUACCGCAUACGACCUACGGGUGAAAGCAGGGGAUCGCAAGACCUUGCGUCAUUGGAGCGGCCGAUAUCAGAUUAGCUUGNGGUGGGGUAAAGACCUACCAAGGCGACGAUCUGUAGCUGGUCUGAGAGGACGACCAGCCACACUGGGACUGAGACACGGCCCAGACUCCUACGGGAGGCAGCAGUGGGGAAUUUUGGACAAUGGGCGCAAGCCUGAUCCAGCCAUGCCGCGUGCGGGAAGAAGGCCUCGGUGUAACG
rnacentral:rRNA from 1 species